UACGUAGGGGGCUAGCGUUGUCCGGAUUUAUUGGGCGUAAAGAGCUCGUAGGCGGUCUGUCGCGUCGAAUGUGAAAACCCGGGGCUCAACCCCGGGCCUGCAUUCGAUACGGGCAGACUAGAGUUCGGUAGGGGAGUCUGGAAUUCCUGGUGUAGCGGUGAAAUGCGCAGAUAUCAGGAGGAACACCGGUGGCGAAGGCGGGACUCUGGGCCGAUACUGACGCUGAGGAGCGAAAGCGUGGGGAGCAAACAGG
rnacentral:rRNA from 1 species